AUUUGCAACACCACUAAAAAAAAAAAAAAACACCUGGGUAUGGCUGUGCAUACAAGUAACCAUGGCACUGUGGAAUGGAGACCAGUAGAUCCUAAAAGGCCUAAAAGAUUGUACCAAUGGGAACUCAGAUGUUUGGAUGGGGUCUGGGUGAGGAUUGAUUGCGAUGUCUACUACCCUUCCCUGCUGUCCAGUUCCUUGGUAUUGUGAAGGUCUACUUACAGUUCCCAUUUCAACAAUAGCAAACACCACAGCUCCCUGGGUACUGAGUCCUUGCUCGUGCUUUGACCAUGGAUGCUGAGUUUCGUUCUCACGGCCAUCAUAUAUUGACUUCGUCUCCAUAAAAAUACUCUGAACUUCUUUCCAGA